ensembl:lncRNA
AAAGAAAAUCUGAGGUUCGUAACAGUGUGUGUGUGUGUAUGGUUUGUUUUUGCGUAUGAUUCUGAAGAUGAUCUGUGCCCCUUGUGUAUGCCUGUAGUGAUAUACCUGUAGAGCUGGGUGUCAUCUGCAUAACUAUGAUAGUUGAUGUUAUGCUUCCUAAUGACACCACGAAGGGGUAGCAUGUAUAGACUGAAAAGUAAGGGCCCUAAAAUGGAUCCUUAGUGUGUCUGUAGUGAUGAAGCCCAUUCCUAUCUGUGUUUGAUUUAGUGUGUCUGUAGUGAUGUAGCCUAACCUAUCUGUGUUUCAUUUAGCGAGUCUGUGUAGUAAGAAGCCCAUUCCUAUCUGUGUUUGAUUUAGUAUGUCUGUGUAGUAAGAAGCCCAUUCCUAUCUGUGUUUGAUUUAGUAUGUCUGUGUAGUAAGAAGCCCAUUCCUAUCUGUGUUUGAUUUAGCGUGUCUGUGUUGUAUGAAGCCCAUUCCUAUCUGUGUUUGAUUUAGUGUGUCUGUGUCGUAUGAAGCCCAUUCCUAUCUGUGUUUGAUUUAGCGUGUCUGUGUUGUAUGAAGCCCAUUCCUAUCUGUGUUUGAUUUAGUGUGUCUGUGUCGUAUGAAGCCCAUUCCUAUCUGUGUUUGAUUUAGCGUGUAUGUGUUGUAUGAAGCCCAUUCCUAUCUGUGUUUGAUUUAGCGUGUCUGUGUUUGAUGAAGCCCAUUCCUAUCUGUGUUUGAUUUAGCGUGUCUGUGUUGUAUGAAGCCCAUUCCUAUCCGUGUUUGAUUUAGUGUGUCUGUAGAGAUGAAGCCCAUUCCUAUCUGUGUUUGAUUUAGCGUGUCUGUGUUAGAUGAAGCCCAUUCCUAUCUGUGUUUGAUUUAGCGUGUCUGUGUUGUAAGAAGCCCAUUCCUAUCUGGUGGCAACCACACGAAGGAAAGCACAGAGAAAGAGUUCAACUGACUAAAAUGUUUUGGUGAAUGAAUGUUAGAACACUUUAUUAAUUCAUUAGUCAAAUAUAACCAGAGAAGUUAAUGUGGCGUAAAUAAGUGUAAUACAUCGAUGUAAAAGAGAAUUUCUUGUAUGAAAAUAUACAUUCUUUAAUAUUACUGUUUUUCAAUGUCAAAUAUAUACAUGCCCUGUAGGUUUAACAAUAAGGUUGUACACAAAAUCACAGCCACAAAAUCAUAUAUUUAUAUUAAUGUGUUUUCUUAUGUUUGAAGGUGGGACACUUUCAAUGAUGCACACCUCCACACUCGAUAGAUAGUUUCAUUGUUUGUUCACUGAAUGCAAGGAAGGAGUUUUUCCUAGCUUUUAAAGUUUAUCUGAGAGAGACCUGAGCUCAGAUUAAGAUCCAUCCUCCUCUUGUAGGUGUCUUGUAGAAGGGGCUCCUCAGGGUUGAGUUCAUCUGAAAGACAUUUUCAUCUUAACUUCAUAUCAACACAAGGAGGUUCUAGAACUAUAACUCACAGCCACCAAAUGCAGAGCUAUAUAACUCUACAUGACUCAGACAGACAUAGUAUAUGUAUCUAUAUCAAUAUAACUCACAGCCACCCAAUGCAGAGAUGUGGCACGGUGGCUCAGGUGCUUGCACUGCUGCCUCACAGCAAGAAGGUCAUGGGUUCGAUUCCCGCAUGGGGCGCUGUUGGCUCGGGGGGGCAGGUCCUACAACCUAAUGGUUUUCUUUUUUUCUCUCUCUGUGCUUUCACACCAGGGCAGGAAGUGACUUCAUAGGUAAAGGGCCCAGGUGUACCUCAUGGCACAGGUGACUGGCGUUAGGCUGCAUCUGGGUAGGGACAGAAACACAACAGGACAGCACAACAACAGGCCAGCUCAAUGAAAAUCAGGAGUUUGUAACAGUGUGUGUGUGUGUGUGUGUGAGUCUAAAGAUGAUCUGUGCACCUUGUGUGUGCCUGUAGUGAUGAAGCCCAUUCCUAUCUGUGUUUGAUUUAGUGUUCCUAUAGUGAUGAAGCCUAGCCUAUUAGGCACGUUACAUGUCACCCAGUACAGGACCUUAAUUCUGAGUAGGCAGGCUGGUGUCAAAGUGCCAUGCCCGUGUAAGCAGAGAAAAAGUGUGUGGAAGCUAUCGAAGCUGUGUGGGGAGUACAGAGCAAUCCGAUGCACUCCAGGCCAAAAGGUGGCAGCAGAGAAGCACAGAGCAAGAGUACUGUUCCACUGACUACAUUGUUUGGUGAAUGAAUGGUAUAACACUUUAUUCAUUUAUUCUUUUUUUAAUUACAGCAUAGUCAAAUAUAACAAGA